rnacentral:rRNA from 1 species
AUUGCCUCAGUAACGGCGAGUGAAGCGGCAAAAGCUCAAAUUUGAAACCUUCGGGAUUGUAAUUUGAAGAUUUGGCAUUGGAGAAAGCUAACCCAAGUUACUUGGAAUAGUACGUCAUAGAGGGUGACAACCCCGUCUGGCUAACCGUUCUCCAUGUAUUGCCUUAUCAAAGAGUCGAGUUGUUUGGGAAUGCAGCUCAAAGUGGGUGGUAAACUCCAUCUAAAGCUAAAUACUGGUGAGAGACCGAUAGCGAACAAGUACUGUGAAGGAAAGGUGAAAAGAACUUUGAAAAGAGAGUGAAAUAGUAUGUGAAAUUGUUGAUAGGGAAGGAAAUGAGCGGAGAGUGGUUGAGGUUUCAGCGCACCCUUGGGUGCGUGUAUUGCCGACGCCGAGUCAUUGACAGCGAGACGGGGGCUACAAACAGGUUGCUCUUGAGCUUCCCACCUAUCCCCCCCACUGCCGCCAACGACAUAAUCCGCCCAUUUCACCCGUCU